UAGGGAAUCUUCCACAAUGGGCGAAAGCCUGAUGGAGCAACGCCGCGUGUGUGAUGAAGGGUUUCGGCUCGUAAAACACUGUUGUAAGAGAAGAAUGACAUUGAGAGUAACUGUUCAAUGUGUGACGGUAUCUUACCAGAAAGGAACGGCUAAAUACGUGCNG
rnacentral:rRNA from 1 species